AUUGAACGCUGGCGGCAGGCCUAACACAUGCAAGUCGAGCGGAUGAAGGGAGCUUGCUCCUGGAUUCAGCGGCGGACGGGUGAGUAAUGCCUAGGAAUCUGCCUGGUAGUGGGGGAUAACGUCCGGAAACGGGCGCUAAUACCGCAUACGUCCUGAGGGAGAAAGUGGGGGAUCUUCGGACCUCACGCUAUCAGAUGAGCCUAGGUCGGAUUAGCUAGUUGGUGGGGUAAAGGCCUACCAAGGCGACGAUCCGUAACUGGUCUGAGAGGAUGAUCGGUCACACUGGAACUGAGACACGGUCCCGACUCCUAAGGGAGGAAGCAGUGGGGAAUAUUGGACAAUGGGCGAAAGCCUAAUCCAGCCAUGCCGCGUGUGUGAAGAAGGUCUUCGGAUUGUAAAGCACUUUAAGUUGGGAGGAAGGGCAGUAAGUUAAUACCUUGCUGUUUUGACGUUACCAACAGAAUAAGCACCGGCUAACUUCGUG
rnacentral:rRNA from 1 species